UGGGGAAUCUUGCACAAUGGGGGAAACCCUGAUGCAGCGACGCCGCGUGAGCGAUGAAGCCCUUCGGGGUGUAAAGCUCUUUCGUCAGGGAAGAUAGUGACGGUACCUGGAGAAGCAGCUGCGGCUAACUACGUGCCAGCAGCCGCGGUAAUACGUAGGCAGCAAGCGUUGUUCGGAGUUACUGGGCGUAAAGGGUGUGUAGGCGGUUCUUUAAGUUCGCUGUGGAAUCUCCCGGCUUAACCGGGAGGGUGCGGUGAAUACUGAGGGACUAGAGUACGGGAGAGGAAAGUGGAAUUCCUGGUGUAGCGGUGAAAUGCGUAAAUAUCAGGAGGAACACCGGUGGUGUAGACGGCUUUCUGGACCGUAACUGACGCUGAGACACGAAAGCGUGGGUAGCAAACAGGAUUAGAUACCCUGGUAGUCCACGCCCUAAACGAUGCAUAUUUGGUGUGGGCAGUUCAUUCUGUCUGUGCCGGAGCUAACGCGUUAAAUAUGCCGCCUGGGGAGUACAGUCGCAAGGCUG
rnacentral:rRNA from 1 species